UAUGGCCAUAUGGCAUUGAAAACACUGAUUCUCAUACACUCACCAAAGUUAAGCAAUGUUGAGUUUAGUCAGUACCUAGAUGGGUGACUGCAUGAGAAUAGCAGGUGCUGCAAGC